AUUGAACGCUGGCGGCAGGCCUAACACAUGCAAGUCGAGCGGGGUUUUCGGACCUAGCGGCGGACGGGUGAGUAAUGCGUAGGAAGCUGCCCGAUAGAGGGGGAUACCAGUUGGAAACGACUGUUAAUACCGCAUAAUGUCUACGGACCCAAGUGUGGGACCUUCGGGCCACAUGCUAUCGGAUGCGCCUACGUGGGAUUAGCUAGUUGGUGAGGUACUGGCUCACCAAGGCGACGAUCUCUAGCUGGUUUGAGAGGAUGAUCAGCCACACUGGAACUGAGACACGGUCCAGACUCCUACGGGAGGCAGCAGUGGGGAAUAUUGGACAACGGGCGCGAGCCUGAUCCAGCCAUGCCGCGUGUGUGAAGAAGGCCUUCGGGUUGUAAAGCACUUUCAGCGAGGAGGAAGGGAUGUAUGUAAAUAGCAUGCAUUUUUGACGUUACUCGCAGAAGAAGCACCGGCUAACUCUGUGCCAGCCGCCGCGGUAAUAC
rnacentral:rRNA from 1 species